rnacentral:tRNA from 1 species
GGCCUGCUAGCUCAUCGGUUAGAGCGUCGUGCUAACAACGCGAAGGUCGUAGGUUCAAUCCCUGCGCAGGCUA